GUUGUGUUUGAACUUGAGUUUGUGGUGUUUGUUGAACUUGAGUUUUUUGUCGUGUUUGCAAUUGAGUUUGUGUUGUUUUUGAACUUGAGUUUGUGGUGUUUUUGAGCUUGAGUUUGUGUGUUUGUUGAACUUGAGUUUGUGUUGUGUUUGAACUUGAGUUUGUGGUGUUUGUUGAACUUGAGUUUGUGUCGUGUUUGAACUUGAGUUUGUGUGAUUGUUGAACUUGAGUUUGUGUUGUGUUUGAACUUGAGUUUGUGGUGUUUGUUGAACUUGAGUUUUUUGUCGUGUUUGCAAUUGAGUUUGUGUUGUUUUUGAACUUGAGUUUGUGGUGUUUUUGAACUUGAGUUUGUGUGUUUGUUGAACUUGAGUUUGUGUUGUGUUUGAACUUGAGUUUGUGGUGUUUGUUGAACUUGAGUUUUUUGCCGUGUUUGCAAUUGAGUUUGUGUUGUUUUUGAACUUGAGUUUGUGGUGUUUUUGAACUUGAGUUUGUGUGUUUGUUGAACUUGAGUUUGUGUUGUAUUUGACCUUGAGUUUCGUGUUUGAACUUGAAUUUGUGAUUUUUUUUGAACUUGAGUUUGUGUCGUGUUUAAACUUGAGUUUGUGGGUUUUUUUAAGUUUAAGGUGUGGAAUUGGUUGAACUUGAGGUUGUGGCAAUUUUUAUACUUGAGUUUGUGUUUUUGUUGAACUUGAGUUUGUGUCCUUUUUGAACUUGAGUUUGUGUCGUGUUUGAACUUGAGUUUUUGUGUUAUUUGAACUUAAGUUUGUGUUGUUUUUGAAUAUGAGUUUGUGGUGUUUUUAAACUUGAGUUUGUUUCGUGUUUGAACUUGAGUUUGUGGUGUUUUUAAACUUGAGUUUGUGUGUUUGUCCAACUUGAGUUUGUAUCGUGUUUGACCUUGAGUUUGUGGUUUGUUUGAACUUGAGUUUUGUGUUUGUUGAACUUGAGGUUGUGGUGUUUUUGAACUUGAGUCUGGGUUUUUUUUUACCUUGAGGUUUUGGAAAUUGUUAAACUUGAGAAUUGGGUAUUGGUUAAACUUGAGGUUUUCGUGUUUUUUAACUUGAGUUUGUGUCGUGUUUGAACUUGAGUUUGUGGUGUUUGGUGAACUUGAGUUUGCGUGUUUGGUGAACUUGAGUUC